rnacentral:rRNA from 1 species
GAUGAACGCUGGCGGCGUACCUAAUACAUGCAAGUCGAGCGAACAGACGAGGAGCUUGCUCCUCUGACGUUAGCGGCGGACGGGUGAGUAACACGUGGAUAACCUACCUAUAAGACUGGGAUAACUUCGGGAAACCAGAGCUAAUACCGGAUAAUAUAUUGAACCGCAUGGUUCAAUAGUGAAAGACGGUUUUGCUGUCACUUAUAGAUGGAUCCGCGCCGCAUUAGCUAGUUGGUAAGGUAACGGCUUACCAAGGCGACGAUGCGUAGCCGACCUGAGAGGGUGAUCGGCCACACUGGAGCUGAGACACGGUCCAGACUCCUACGGGAGGCAGCAGUAGGGAAUCUUCCGCAAUGGGCGAAAGCCUGACGGAGCAACGCCGCGUGAGUGAUGAAGGUCUUCGGAUCGUAAAACUCUGUUAUUAGGGAAGAACAAAUGUGUAAGUAACUAUGCACGUCUUGACGGUACCUAAUCAGAAAGCCACGGCUAACUACGUG